rnacentral:rRNA from 1 species
AAUAGAUACCCGGGUAGUCCACGCCCUAAACGUUGCGAACUAGGUGUUGGUCGGAUUGACCCGAUCAGUGCCGCAACUAACGCAUUAAGUUCGCCGCCUGGGGACUACGGCCGCAAGGUUAAACUCAAAGGAAUAGGCGGGGGCCCGCACAAGCAGCGGAGCGUGUGGUUUAAUUCGAAGCAACGCGCAGAACCUUACCAGCCCUUGACAUGGGUCGGACCGGCGCAGAGAUGCGCUUUCCCCGCAAGGGGCCGACUGCACAGGUGCUGCAUGGCUGUCGUCAGCUCGUGUCGUGAGAUGUUGGGUUAAGUCCCGCAACGAGCGCAACCCUCGUCUUUAGUUGCUACCAUUUAGUUGGGCACUCUAAAGAAACUGCCGGUGAUAAGCCGGAGGAAGGUGGGGAUGACGUCAAGUCCUCAUGGCCCUUACGCGCUGGGCUACACACGUGCUACAAUGGCGGUGACAAUGGGCAGCAAACUCGCGAGAGUGAGCAAAUCCCAAAAAGCCGUCUCAGUUCGGAUUGUUCU